GUGAACUAAAAACUAAAAAUAAAUAAAAGGAAAUUGACACGGGUUGGAAAAUAAACUCUUCUUAUUUAAAAUAACUCAAUAAUUCUUUCAAGGCUAAAAUAAAGAAAUACAAAAUUCUAUCCUCACACUUAAUCCGAUCUCAUCCCGUCUACCCUCUUAGAUUGUUUAGUUCGUGAACCUGCAUAACAAUAGAGGGGUGAGCUUUAACAGCUCAGUAGGGACAUAACCUUAUUACAGUAAAUUGACAAUAUUAAAUUAAGUGUCAUGAAAUCAUAUAGCCAAAUAUCAAAUCAUUAUUGAUAAUAAUGCAUGAAUGCAAUUGAACCUCUUCCGCUACACCCGUUACUUUAUAUAAUAAAACACGCAGACCUGCAUGUCCCAUACCAUGCAUUUUACCCCUGCAGAGGUGUUUCGAAUGUUCUAUUAUACAAAUUAACCCCCCGUAACUCAAUCAUUCCAAUUUCCCCUUUUGUUAGUCAUCUUGCCAAAACUCUUCGUCGCCAGUCCCGAAUUACCCUUAAAGAAUCUGUGCACUGUGGGCUCACCUGAGACCUGGUACCUGCUAAGAGUUUGACUCAACUACACAAAAGAUCAUUUCCAUUACCCUCUUUCCAAAUUCCUUUCUCACCUACAAAGUUCCAACCACUUCUGACACAUGAGUGAUGCACAAGCAACGUUAUUACAUCUUCACAUGUCACAAUAUAUCUCCAUGUCACAAUAUAUAUCUCAACGAAUAACAUUCCAGUAGUACUAACAAGUAAACAACGAACUGAAGCAAUAAUCCAAACAAGGUCCAACCACAUUAAUAAACCAACACAAAUAUAGUACUUCACGAAAUUUAAUAGAAUCAAUAUUUGUAAAGGUCUGCCGUAUUUCCCCUACCUGGACUCCAAAGCAUUGCACCAACUUUCUAUUACAAGAGUGCACCACUAUUGUGAUCAAUUCCUAUUUCACAAGUACAAGCAAAUCACUAAAAUGCAUAACAAAUGUAACCCUAGUUAGACUACUUGGUAUUACUAAUCUAACACCACUUGAUUCAAAAGUCAUUUUGGUCGAUAUGAAAUAACGCAACUGCAAUAGAAGAUGUUUGAAUGUAAAAGGAUUUAGGAAAUAAGUAAUAUAUAUAUAUAUAUAUAUAUAUAUAUAUAUAUAUAUAUAUAUAUAUAUAUAGCUCACUGUAUAAUACAAGUUCCUCAAAACACUUUGGCUUAUAUAAUUGCAUAAAAGCUUUGUCAUAUUAUACAUAUAUACAUAUAUAUUUUCCUGAUCUGUAUCAGUAUGAACUAUUUUACAAAAUAAUACUCCAACCGAGUUGGAAUUGUAAAAGUCGUUUUAUAAGGGUAUUACAAAUAGACCAACACUUUAAAUCAAAACAGGCUUUGCAUUAUCCAGUACAAUAUAGUGAACAAACUGAUCAUACCAUACUUGAAACCAAAAGGCUGUAGUUGUAAAAAUAGGUAUACGUUAUAUAGAAUAGUUUUGCAUCAAAUAGGCAGCAUUAUAUAAAACCCUUGCAUAUAAAACUUGUUUUGCAGUUUCUGCCUAAAAGCAACCAUGAAAGACAAUGAUUUACUACAUAAAAUAGCUAAGCAAAGAACAAAGAGAGCUGCGAAUCAUUACCCUGCUGCAGGCUGACAUCCCAAGCAGGAAGAUGAAUACGAAUAAUUCAGCACCCUUCUCUCUGAUUCUAUUUGAUUUCUUAAUCCCUUCCUUCUAUUUGUCUUCUCUUCUCUCCUCUCUCUCUCUCUCAACAUAUAUAUAUA
rnacentral:lncRNA from 1 species